UGAGUGUUAAGACUUGAGAGUGGUGGCUCAUUGUUUCUGUAUUCAAAUACUGAUGAAUCGACACUUCCAAAAGAUAUGUCAGUCAAAUUGAUAGGAUAAUGUAUGAUCAUGCUUUGUAUAGAGCUGACCUCACAUGGAACGUCCUAUCCAUCUUAAACUUCACCCAGGCUUGAUACAAUUGACCCUUUAAUUUCCUAGAAAUUCUCAUCUUUGCCUGUGCAAAUAUUAUUUUAUUUGUCAUACUCUUAUACAUUAAAGUUACAUUUUAUCCCACAGACUGAUGGCCAAAGAAGAUUUGGGAAGUUCCACUAUGUUCCUACAGACUGUUGGCCAAAAAAGAUUUGGGGGGAAAUAGCUCUAGAGAAGGAUUGAGAUGAAAAUGGUAGAAUCAUGGUAGAACUGUUUAUAUUGCUGAUUGAGACGGUGAUUGUGAUUUAUUGCUUUUUACUAUUUUUUUAUCUUUUCUACUUUGCUCAGAUAAUUUAUACAGGUUGUUCUUUCUUUAGUACCAAUGAAUAACUUGGUUACACGAUAUACUUGAAGACUGUAGUAGGAACAAAAUGCUUGGCAGACCAAACUAAUUAGCUUUGAAGUUUCCUGGAGACAGACUACUCUUGCAUCAUUAUGUGCAACCCACAGGGAUCUCGCUCGGUGAGACAUGCACACCUAUGCCACAUCUUUACAUGUAAGUUUGUUUUGCUUAGCCAUGGACAGUGAGGUCCCCCUUCUCUGAUUUCUUCAUUCCCAGUUCAUUUAUUUAUUUGAUAUCAAUAUCUUUACUAUAGGAUUUAUGUCCUUGCCAACUCUACAAUUGUUAAUUGCACACUCAGAGUCUGGAUAUUGAAUUAGCUACUUUUGCGAUCCCUGGACUACACGAGUCAAUAGAGCUGAUGUUCAUCAGUAUUUCUGGAUUGCCCAUCUUUCAGUUGAGUUAAGGCUUUUUCUAUUGUCUGCAAAUGAAAAUUAUUUGAUGUACCCCUGCUCAGUUUUCACAUCCUUCCCAGGUUU